rnacentral:rRNA from 1 species
CAAGGUGAGAGAUACGGAGGUAGAGCACUGAAUGUCCUAGGGGGUAUUGCACCUACCGAAGACUAUCAAACUCCGAAUGCCGUCAUCUUAUACUUGGGAGUCAGACUGUGGGUGAUAAGAUUCAUAGUCGAAAGGGCAACAGCCCAGAUCGUCAGCUAAGGUCCCUAAAUGUAAGUUAAGUGGUAAAGGAUGUGGGAUUGCACAGACAACCAGGAUGUUGGCUUAGAAGCAGCCACUCAUUCAAAGAGUGCGUAAUAGCUCACUGGUCGAGUGAUCCUGCGCCGAAGAUUUCCGGGGCUAAAACUUACUACCGAAGCUACGGCAUCAGUAAUGAUGGGUAGGGGAGCUUCCCAUACGGGU